AGUGAACGCUGGCGGUAGGCCUAACACAUGCAAGUCGAACGGCAGCACAGUAAGAGCUUGCUCUUACGGGUGGCGAGUGGCGGGCGGGUGAGGAAUACAUCGGAAUCUACUUUUUCGUGGGGGAUAACGUAGGGAAACUUACGCUAAUACCGCAUACGACCUACGGGUGAAAGCAGGGGAUCUUCUGACCUUGCGCGAUUGAAUGAGCCGAUGUCGGAUUAGCUAGUUGGCGGGGUAAAGGCCCACCAAGGCGACGAUCCGUAGCUGGUCUGAGAGGAUGAUCAGCCACACUGGAACUGAGACACGGUCCAGACUCCGACAGGAGGCAGCAGUGGGGAAUAUUGGACAAUGGGCGCAAGCCUGAUCCAGCCAUACCGCGUGGAUGAAGAAGGCGUUCGGGUUGUAAAGCCCUUUUGUUGGGAGAGAAAAGCAGCAGGUUAAUACCCCGCUGUUCUGACGGUACCCAAAGAAUAAGCACCGGCUAACUUCGUG
rnacentral:rRNA from 1 species